CACGUAUUGCCCACCACCAUCCUAGGCACCCUCGGGGUGUAAACCAAAGCUGGGAGAACCAAAUCCAGGUGUUUGGGCAACUCUUUCUCCAGGGCUGACUUGUCUAGGGAAGAAAGUAUCUAUAUUAAGAGAACUCAUUCAUUUUCUCGACAAUGGUGCUGCUGCCUUUUCUUCCCUUCCUGGGCUUCGCUUCCCUUUCAACCUCUUCCUGAUGAUCUACAUCCAGUUCAGCUCUCCACACCAGGUCUCUGCCUGCAAUCUUCUCUCAAAGCAGGUCCUUUCCUCUAUGUAACUGUCCAGCU
rnacentral:lncRNA from 1 species